rnacentral:lncRNA from 1 species
ACCUAGUUACAUAAGCCACAGUUAACUAAACAAUUGACCAACGUUUACUGUUAAAUCUAGCUGCGUUAACUGGUUAAAUAUAAAACGUUAAUAAGGUUCCCACUUUAAGACUAGCUGCAACUUCUUCCAUCAAAAUGUUAGCGCCUAAAUUAACCUAGGCUAGGUAGUGCAGCAAAAUCUCUACUAAAGUUACAACGAUGUCACGAAAAUGCACUAAUAUGACUGUAUCUAGUGAGCUAGGUUAACUAGUUAACUAACUAACUAGGUUACAGCAGCCUUUACAUCAUCAUCAUCACUGUUAACCUACAAAGCUAGGUCAGCUAUCUUAACUAGUUAACUAGAUGACCUAGCUAACCUAACCUAGCUACAUUUUAACGAUACCAGAUGCUGACUCACCAAAUAACGCUACACACAGACUUUUUUUUCUCUUUUUAGGGGGGAAAUAACUUUUUUUUUUCUCCCAGUCGUUUUCGUGACUGGUUAUAUCUAAAAACGCGCAAAACAGACUAAAAACUAUACAUAAAAUGUAAUAAAAGUCAAGUUGUGGACCUGCCAGCUUUUAUCACCAUUUCAGCAUUUUCGACAUAACCAGCCAGCUAGUCAAGCAGCCGUAUAAACGCUUUUUAUAUUAAUGCAUAUGGACGCCAGCCACGAUGCUAUUUACAAUGAAGCAAAAGUGACCGUUAAUAUUUAAAUUAAAAAGGACGCUUACCGGCUCUGGUGGCUGAGCUCGCCCGACUUGUGUCAUCUGAGUCUCCGCUGUUUACCCACCCUUGCAUCCCUCAUCCAGCCCCUGGCCUACCACAGGCAGUGAGUGCAGCAAAUCGCACAAAAACAGAAGCUAUCGCAGAACAGAAUCAACAAUUAUGGGCCAAUCAAAUCUCUGGGCUGCAGGAGCAGGCCCCUACAUGGAUCCAUGAUUUCACUGGACCCAAACCAGCAGAGAGGAUUAAUGUGGGAGGAGGGAGAGCUGAGAGAGAGAGAGAGAGAGAGAGAGAAGGUGUAAACCCUUGA